rnacentral:lncRNA from 1 species
UUUUUUUUUUUUUUUUUUUUUGGUCUUUUCUAGGGCCACACUCACCGCAUGUGGAGGUUCCCAGGCUAGGGGUCUAAUGGGAGCUGUAGCCUCCGGCCUACACCAUAGCCAUAGCAACACGGGAUCUGAGCCACGUCUGCGACCUACACCAUAGCUCACGACAACACCGGAUCCUUAACCCACUGAGUGAGGCCAGGGAUCAAACCCACAACCACAUGGUUCCUAGUCAGAUUUGUUAACUACUGAGCCACGACAAGAACUAUGACGUGCCUUUCCAAAGUCCACUGCAUCUCUUUGCCACGUGAAACUCUUCCUCACUUCCCCAUCACAUUCGGGGCAACCAUUCCUAGAUCCUCUCAUUAUGUAUAAUGAUCCUGCCCUGGUUACAUUCCUAACCCCAAUUUCACCACUUUUCAACACACACCUUCCUUUACGAAUGUCUUUGGUACAAAUUUCUGGACAUUCACCAAAACUUGUCACAUUCUCUCAUCUCUCUCUGUGCCUUGCUUGCGUUAUUCCCUCUGCCUAGAGGGUCUUUCCCCCAGGGAAUGCCUCUUCAUCUUCAGGAUUGAAUUGAAACAUUCUUAUUUCCAAAAAAUCUCCUACCACCUGACUGAGCUGACACUUCCAAAUCUCUUCCUACUUGCAUUGACUGUAGCUCUCAUCACAAAGCUGACUUGUCUGGUUAUUGGCCACACUGUGACUGUCCCUGGGGCAAGGGCUGUGUCUUGGUGUCUAUUUACCCCCAGCAGAGAGCACAGUGCCUGACAUGUGCCAGAGGCUGCAUCAUUUCUGUUGACUGAGUGAUGCAUGAUGAGACCAGCAGAGUCCCAUGUUAUCCAGUUGACACCAGCCAAACGUUCCUUCUCUUAACUGGGUUGCUUCAUCGUCAUUUUUCCUAGGAUAUAUCUAGCUAAUCAAUUUCGUUACGUUUUUCUGGGAACCAGAGCUAAUUAUAAGAAACCACAGAUGUUUUCAGAGGCAAUCUUUUCCCUGUUCCGACCAUCUAAGUAUCCCACAGACCUGUGCCUGCUUGGGCUCACCUCUGUGUCCCCUGAAACCUAGCAAAGUGUUCGGAAUAUAACAGGUCCUCAAUAUUUAUUGAAUGAAUGCCCCGCCACUCCACUGCCCAAUUUUAUAGGUGAAACAACAACAAAGAAUUAUUCUCAUAUUGGGCUCAAGAAAAGCAUCCAAGGCAAAACCAAAAACAGAGGCAUUUAUCUAAUUCCCGCACACUGAAAAACAGGGAAAAUGCCUAUAAAAAUAAAUGUCAUGAAUGAUAUAAUUUUCUGGCAAAGGCAUGAGAUUCACGAGUGAGCUGGAAGACUGCGGGAUAAAGAAUGCCCGCAUCUCCAGGGUCACAGCAACAUCUGCAUCGUGUUACGGCUGCGUCGUGGUGGUGAAGUGAUGAACUCAACUGAAGUGUUGCAACUGAGAUUAAUUGGCCAUUUUCUCCAACAAAGUCCUCUAAGUGCCGCAAAGGCCAUGCAAAAGGACCACAUGGUCUGAGUUCCACAAGGAAACUCUUCCUGCCGAAGGCAGGAUGGCAGUCAAGCCCUGAACUGGAAUAAACUUCUUCGUAAUGGUCUGCACAAUUUCUAAACGGUGAAAGGGUCAUUUUAUAGGUUAAUCAUAAUAAGAAGUGCUGCAUUUCUUGACUCUGGGAAUUUUCCAAAUGGCUGCGAAUGAACCCAAAGCAUUUCUCCGUUAUCACUAAACUGACUGAUGUGGUUCAUGCAGCAAGAAGUCGAUGCUGAAUUAACUCUGAAAGCAAACUUCUUACGGGGGAGGGAGGGAUACAGGCAAUCCCUACUCACCUUACGAUGAUGUCUUUUCUAAAGAAAGACAACACGAGCAACAGCGCUUCCUGUGGCUCAAGUUCACCAAAGAUUAGGCCAAGAAGGCUGCACUUGGGGUCUGUUCAGUUUGUGAGCUGGAAUUCCCACAGUCACCGUCUGCUUCUAGGAAAGCCUCAAAUUCAAAAAUUGCGGUAGGAGUUCCCACUGUUGCUCAUUGGGUUAAGAAUCUAACAUAAUGUCCAUGAGAAUGUGCAUUCAAUCCCUGGCCUCACUCAGUGGAUUAAGGAGCCGGGGUUGCCACAAAUUGCAGCAUAGGUCACAGAGGUGGCUCAGAUCUGGUGUUCCUGUGGCUGUGGCAUAGGCCUCAGCUGCAACUCCAAUUGGACCCUUAGCCUGGGAACUUCCAUAUCCCUCAGAUGCAGCUGUAAAAAUGAAAAAAAAAAAAAAAAGCAAAAAACAAUGCAAUAAAUGCCAAUCACUGGCUCCAACCCAUGAGCUCCUAACAUAGAAAGGAAGGAGAAAACAAUGGAAUUGUUGCAAAUUUGCCUCCAAAUUCAUUUCUUUACAGCAAAAAAAAAAAAAAUGUGCAAAAAAGUUUGUUUAGCAGCUAUAUCAGCAGACUACGAAGUAAUGCCUGAUGCACAGUGAGUUUGUAAUUAGCAAACAUGUUAUUCUUUACAUGCAAAUAUCAAAAUAUUCUUGGAAAAUGAUAUUUUGAAAAUGGACAAAAGGGCCUGGACUCAUUCCAACUUCAUUUCUAGCAUAUAUUUUCUUACCAUCACAAAUAGCUAACUCCCAGCAAUAAACCAAAAAGAUAAAUUUGAAUACAGAGAUCAGAACAUACAAAACAGUAGCUCACAGGAAAUCGUCGGUGUCAGAGGGCUGUUGAAAACAUGAAGAGUCUCAGCCACUUUUCAUCCCAGAUUGCUCAUCUCAAAUGUACUGGAAAUUCAUUAACAACCCCAAAUCCCGCCUUUCCCGUAGUUGCCGCACCUUUUAGAAUCCAGUGCUUUUCUUGCAUGCAGUGACUGCAAACAAGAAUUAUUUAUUCAAAUUUUACUUCUGCUCUUCACCACAAAAAGGAAGCUCUGUAUAAGGGUUACUUUGAUGGGAAAUAAUAGAAAACUGACACAAAGUAGCUAUCACACUAGGAUUUCCUCUUUUUAACUAAUUCUUACAUUAAAAACAAAGAAGUUCAGGAGUUCCUGUUGUGGCUUAGCAGUAAUAAACCCGAUUAGUAUCCAUAAGGACUUGGGUUCGAUCCCUGGCCAGGGGGUUAAGGAUCUGGCGUUGCCAUGAGCUGUGGUGUAGGUCACAGACACAGCUUGCAUCUGGUGUCGCAGUGGUUGUGGUGUAAGCCCGGUGGCUACAGCUCCGAUUCGACCCCUAGCCUGGGAACUUCCAUAUGCCACGGGUAUGGGCCUAAAAAGAUGAAAAAAUUUUAAAAAAGAAGUUCAGAAGUAAGGAAACUUCCAGGUAGACACAGCAGCCUUUAUGUUUCUCCAUUUUUCUGCCCUUAGCAUUGGCUUUAUCCCUAAACGGUAGUAGUCGCCGGCAUUGUAUCUGGCUAAAACGAUAAAGAGAAAAGAAGGAAAAACAACUCUCUCCUGUCUCUGGCUUAAGGAAAAGAAAACUUUCAGAUUGACUUUCAGGGGUCAUCUUCUGUUUUGUUCACCGGCUGCUGUGGUCUGUGUCCCCCCACAUUCCUGUUACGUCUUGAUGCUUAGUGUGAUGGUAUUAGGAUAUGAGGUCUCUAGGAUGCCCUCGGGACUGGGAUGAGGGCUUUUCUAGAAGCGGCCCCAGAGAGGACCCCUUCCCCUCCCACCACUUGCAGAUAUAACAAGAAGUCUGCUAUUGGGAAGAUGGCCCUCACCCCACCUCUCUCCCUGUUGGCACCCUGCCCCCACUACCCCUCCGCCAGUUCCAGCCUCCAGACUCUGAGAAAUAAAAUUUCUGUUGUUCAGAAGGUGCCCAGACUGUGGCAUGUUGUUACAGCAGCUCAGAAGAAGACAUAGGUUUUGUUCCUGUUGUGUCUCAUUGGGUUAAGGACCCGACUAGGAUCCAUGAGGAUGUGGGUUCAAUCCCUAGCCUUGCUCAGUGGGUUAAGGAUCCGGCAUUGCCACAAGCUGCUGCAUAGGUUGCAGAUGCAGCUCGGAUAUAGUGUUGCUGUGGCUGCUGCAGCUCAGAUUCAGCCCCUAGCCUGGGAACGUCCAUAUGCUACAGGUGUCGCCCUAAAAAGGAAAACAAGAUUCUGAGCCUGUGUUGCUGCAGCUGACUGUCCCUCUAGCGGGGGAAUGUAAAGUGGAUGAGUCUGUUUCCUCCAUCAAAUCAGUUUCUCACAGAUGGUCAUUGGCAGGGCAGCAGGGCUGGUGGGGACCAUGACAUGGGGUGGUCAACACCGUUUUCUAGAGAAGACUUGCUUCUUGCUUAAAAGUGAAAACUAAAACUGGCCUCUGGAGUUUCCUGGUGGCCUAGCAGUUAAGGAUUCAGUAUUGUCACUGUGUACCUUGGGUUGGAUCCCUGGCCCUGGAACUUCCUCAUGCUGAGGGCGUGGCCAAAAAAAAUUAAAAAUAAAAAAAAUAAAUAAAGCUGGUCCUCCAUUUUUGCAGCAUAAGCAUCCUUCCUCCAGCAGUUACUGAGGUGGUUAUUAUUUAGUCACAUCCGGUCCAGUGCUGUCUGGUUUAUGACUGUAUGGGGGGGAAAGAGUCUCUUCUUCACACUCUAGUUUAUAUAUAGAUGAAAACUGAAUAAGGUGAAAAACAGAGAGUUGGUGGAUUUCAUUUUGGAGAACGCACAUUUGGAAAAUUGAAUUAAAAACAUUCCAGGACAUUUUCCUCAGCUUUAGGGAGACUCUAUUCCAAGCAGAAUAGGCACAAAAAUGGUUUUUAACCUUUCAGAAGCAUUGGGGUGAAUGAAAAUUCUUCAAAGCAAAAUGAGCGUAUUAUUGAGUAUACUAUUCCCUUUUUUUCUGUUCCUGUAUCAAAAACAAAGGUUGAAGGGGAGUAGAGAGGAGAGGAGAUCGGAAUGCACCCAUCUUCCCCCAGUUGGCUGAGAAAGCUUUUGCGAAGUGGGUGGAGUUGUAGGAGUCUAGGUGAUGACACAGAGAAAUAAGGUGAACACAGGCGGGUGGACGGUGGUCACCCACAAGAAGAUAUCCUGUGCCAGGCAAAGCUCAUUGAUGAAAUGGAUGGACAAAUCGAAAAUCUAUUUUAUAUUCCCUCAUCCAUUCCGUCGGAAGCUUGGAUUCAGAGCUAGACACAAACAUCUUUUUUUUUUUUUUUUGGAGUCUACUAAAUCUGUCUUAUGGGAGUUCCCACUGUGGCUCAGUGGGUUAAGAAUCCAACACAUUGGAGUUCCCCUUGUGGCGCAGUGGUUAACGAAUCCGACUAAGAACCGUGAGGUUGCGGGUUUGAUCCCUGGCCUUGCUCAGUGGGUUAAGGAUCUGGCGUUGCCGUGAGCUGUGGUGUAGGUUGCAGACACAGCUUGGAUCCCGCGUUGCUGUGGCUCUGGUGUAGGCCGGUGGCUACAGCUCCAAUUAGACCCCUAGCCUGGGAACCUCCAUAUGCUGAGGGAGCAGCUCAAGAUAAGGCAAAAAGACAAAAAAAAAAAAAAAAG